GAAAUGCGAUAAGUAAUGUGAAUUGCAGAAUUCAGUGAAUCAUCGAAUCUUUGAACGCACAUUGCGCCCGCCAGUAUUCUGGCGGGCAUGCCUGUCCGAGCGUCAUUUCAACCAUCAAGCCCCCGGGCUUGUGUUGGGGACCUGCGGCUGCCCGCAGGCCCUGAAAACCAGUGGCGGGCUCGCUGUCACACCGAGCGUAGUAGCAAUCACCUCGCUCAGGGCGUGCUGCGGGUUCCGGCCGUUAAACAGCCUUACAAAACCCAAGGUUGACCUCGGAUCCGGUAGGAAGACCCGCUGAACUUAAGC
rnacentral:misc_RNA from 1 species